UACGGGGGGGAGCAAGCGUUGUUCGGAUUUACUGGGCGUAAAGGGCGCGUAGGCGGCGUGACAAGUCACUUGUGAAAUCUCCGGGCUUAACUCGGAACGGUCAAGUGAUACUGUCGUGCUAGAGUACAGAAGGGGCAACUGGAAUUCUCGGUGUAGCGGUGAAAUGCGUAGAUAUCGAGAGGAACACCUGCGGCGAAAGGCGGGUUGCUGGGCCUUACCUGACGCUGAGGAGCGAAAGCGUGGGGAGCGAACAGG
rnacentral:rRNA from 1 species